GUACACUCCUACGGGAGGCAGCAGUGGGGAAUAUUGGACAAUGGGCGCAAGCCUGAUCCAGCCAUGCCGCGUGAGUGAUGAAGGCCCUAGGGUUGUAAAGCUCUUUCACCGGUGAAGACAAUGACGGUAACCGGAGAAGAAGCCCCGGCUAACUUCGUGCCAGCAGCCGCGGUAAUACGAAGGGGGCUAGCGUUGUUCGGAUUUACUGGGCGUAAAGCGCACGUAGGCGGACUAUUAAGUCAGGGGUGAAAUCCCGGGGCUCAACCCCGGAACUGCCUUUGAUACUGGUAGUCUUGAGUUCGAGAGAGGUGAGUGGAAUUCCGAGUGUAGAGGUGAAAUUCGUAGAUAUUCGGAGGAACACCAGUGGCGAAGGCGGCUCACUGGCUCGAUACUGACGCUGAGGUGCGAAAGCGUGGGGAGCAAACAGGAUUAGAAACCCUUGUAGUCCCA
rnacentral:rRNA from 1 species